GGCUUCUCGCUUUUCAUGAAUGUGUCUCCCCCUCUGCUUAUGUGAGUUUUACCCGCCUUUUACUCUGCUUGCUUCUGACUCCCUAUGAGCCCUUACUUUUUCGGAGGGUCGGCGGGACAUGGGAGCCUCAGCUCAUGCAUCGGUUUACCGAAAUAACCUCUUCUCUCCCACUUCCUUCUAUUCAAAAGGCGAGCAGCCCUUAAACAAAAAGGCCUAAGAGGGUUCUUCUAGCGGGACAUGGGAGCCUCAGCUCAUGCAUCCGUUUACCGAAAUAACCUCUUCCCUCACACUUAUUUCUAUUCAAAAGGCGAGCUGCCCUUAAACAAAAAGGCCUAAGAGGUUCUUCUUUAUAUAUUACAUAAGCCCUAAAGUAGGUAGCCCCGAAAGCCGAACUCAGCAGAGUGGGUUUUGGCUUGCCCCUUUCUAUCUUAUUAGUCAAACCUAAACGUCCUUAUUUCAAAAAACAGCGCUAACACCCUAUCUAUAGUAAGGGGCCUUUUCAAUUCAAUCUCCCACUUGAUUUCGGACAGUCAAAUAUAAAGACUCUUUGUUAGCUCUUCGUGCCUCCUUGACUUCUCAAACUGAACUAAGACUGUCCAA
rnacentral:lncRNA from 1 species